CUGAAUUAUUCACCCUUGUCUUUUGCGUACUUCUUGUUUCCUUGGUGGGUUCGCCCACCACUAGGACAAACAUAAACCUUUUGUAAUUGCAAUCAGCGUCAGUAACAAAUUAAUAAUUACAACUUUCAACAACGGAUCUCUUGGUUCUGGCAUCGAUGAAGAACGCAGCGAAAUGCGAUAAGUAGUGUGAAUUGCAGAAUUCAGUGAAUCAUCUAAUCUUUGAACGCACAUUGCGCCCUUUGGUAUUCCAAAGGGCAUGCCUGUUCGAGCGUCAUUUGUACCCUCAAGCUUUGCUUGGUGUUGGGCGUCUUGUCUCUAGCUUUGCUGGAGACUCGCCUUAAAGUAAUUGGCAGCCGGCCUACUGGUUUCGGAGCGCAGCACAAGUCGCACUCUCUAUCAGCAAAGGUCUAGCAUCCAUUAAGCCUUUUUUUCAACUUUUGACCUCGGAUCAGGUAGGGAUACCCACUGAACUUAAGCAUAUCAAUAAGCCGGAGGAAUUAUUAUUAAAAAAUGUAUCAUCGGAUUUUUUUUUCCCCCCACUUUAAUUGCUAUUUUUUUCUUUUACAUAAAAAAAUAUUUUAUUUACAUUAAAGGAGCGUUUAUAUUUCUAGUAGUAAUGGAAUAAAAUUGUAUAAUAGAUUGUGAAGAAUUUACUGUUUACUUAUACCACAUCCCAUAUUAAACAAAAAAACAAAUAACUGCUCAGCACAUAACCGCUGAGAUCGAUACAACAUAUGCAUAUAUCCCCGCCCUCAGUACAACACACCCUAAAAUAACUACAAACUUAUAUAGCCUUAGCAAAGGUAUACCCACCCCAAAGCAAAUUGGGUGGACCUUCCCAGGGUAAAUCUACACCGGCAAUUUUAGGCACCCGACCCCUAGGCCUGGAGGUUACGUAAA
rnacentral:misc_RNA from 1 species